CCGAAUUGUCAACAGGAGUUGUUGCUGGUCCUCAAAUGGGGGCAUGUGCACGCUCUGUUCACACAUCCACUCACACCCUGUGCACCCUCUGCAGUUCUAUGGUUGGAGGGCCUGGUCCCUCCUGCUGUGGUUCUGCAUUUUUACACACACACUGUAACAAAGUCUUAUGGAAUGCAUGCCGCGUUUAACGCAAUAUAAUA
rnacentral:misc_RNA from 1 species